UUUUAAGUAACUCCAGAGGGCGCUCUUUUUCUGCGUUACAUACAACUCGUGUCUUUCAAACGAAAAGUUGCACAACUUAAGAAGCAAUGGUUGUCAUCACAUCAUUUCCACCUCCAACAGAAGGAAUUCGACAUAGAGAGCCAAAUACAAUAGCACAUAUUAAGUCCAGAGAUCUUGGGAAAGGAACUCUUUACAUAGCAGAAAGUCGGCUCUCAUGGGUUGGGGAGAAUGGCCAGGGAUUCUCUUUGGAGUAUCCAUCUAUUUGUCUACAUGCUGUGUCUCGAGACUUGAAUGCUUUUCCUUGUGAAUGCCUGUAUCUGAUGAUUGAUGCUGAACUGGAAAGUAAUGGUGAAGAACAAAAUGGAGAGAGUCAAGAGGAUGAGGAAAGUAAGACAUCUGAAGUUCGUUUUGUUCCUGAAAACACUGGAGUAUUGGAUGCGAUGUUUAAAGCCAUGAUGGACUGCCAAGCUUUACAUCCAGACCCUGAUGACUCGUAUUCUGAUGAUGAAGUGGGAUGCUUUGAGGAUGCAGAAGAUGAUUCUGGGGCUGAAUAUGAUGUGGCAGCAGCAGAGAGAGGUUGUGGUCAUGUGGACGCUCCACGGGAUGACUUUUGUGGUGAUGAGUGUGAAGAACCCAUGGAUGUAGCCCAGUUUGAAGAUGCGGAUGCAGAACAUUGACAUCUAGCGAAGUAUCAUUGCAUCACGUUUGUUGCAUCCUGGAGAUCAACGUCUUGCUGGAAGAUGAAUCCCUGCCAAAAGGUCUUGAUCCUGAGGGAAUAACAUAAUGAAUAAGAAUUUGAUUCUACUUGUCAGCAGUCAGGGUGCCAUCAGUUUUCUGUAGAUCUCCAACAUCACUGACUGAGCAUGCACGUAUAGGCACGGUGCCAUUAUCUAUCUAGUGGAUGUCACAUUAAGAUGCUUUCCUAUCUUUAUGCCAAGCUGUGGGUUCAUUGGAUAUAAAUACCUCAAGAUUGUGUACCAUUUCGAAACUGGAUAAAUAAACAUUUUAUUAAGUUUGC
rnacentral:misc_RNA from 1 species